AUCAACAGAUGAAUGGAUAAACAAAAUGUUGUCUGUACAUGCAAUGGAAUAUCAGUCAGCCUUAGAAAGGAAAUUCUGACAUAUGCUACAAUAUGGAUGAAGCUUGAGGAUAUUAUCCUAAGUGAUAGCAUAAGUCAGAAGAAGAAACUGAGAGUUCCCGUCGUGGCUCAGUGGUUAAUGAAUCUGAUUAGGAACCAUGAGGUUGCUGGUUCAAUCCCUGGUCUUGCUCAGUGGGUUAAGGUGUUGCGGUGUUGCCGUGAGCUGUGGUGUAGGCUGCAGAAGCAGCUCAGAUCCCACGUUGCUGUGGCUCUGGUGUAGGCUGGCAGCUACAGCUCCGAUUAGACCCCUAGCCUGGGAAUCUCCAUAUGCUGAGGCCAUAGAAAAGAACCCCCCCCCAAAAAAAAGAAAAGAAGAAGCCCUAUGACUCCACCUAUAUGUGAUUAAUACCUAGAGUAAUCAAAUUCAUAGAAACAGAAAGCAGAAUGGUGGUUUCCAGAGGCUGGGGCAAGAGGGAAAUGGGAAGUUAGUCUUUAAUGGGUACAUAGUUUCAGUUCUGUAGGAUGAACAUCUUGAGUUGGAGGGUGGUGAUAGUUGAACAAUAAUAUGAUUGUACUUAAUAUUACUGAACUGUACACUUAAAAGUGGGUAAAGUGGUAAGGUUUGUGUUAUGUAUAUUUUACCAUAAUUUUUAAAACAGCAAUAAAAUAUCACAUUAUACCUAUGCGGGAGGCAGAAUUCUAAGAUGAGCCCUGGUGCCCAAGCCCUUAUAUAACCCUCUCCCCUUGAACAUGGGCAGGGCCUAGAACUUGCCUUUAACCAGUAGAAUAUAAAAAAGCUGGUAGAAUAUCAACCCCCUAAUCAGGUUAUGCUAUAAGAAACAUGUGAAGGGAAUUUGCUGAUGUAAUUAAAGUCCCUAAUAAAUUGGCAAAUGCUGCUCGGGUGGCAAAGUGCUUGAAUGCCUUUUCUUUUUUGUCUUUUGUCUUUUUUAGGGCUGCACCUGCAGCAUAUGGAGGUUCCCAGGCCUGGGGUUGAAUCAGAGCUCUAGCUGCCAGCCUAUGCCACAGCCACAGCAAUGCCAGAUCUGAGCCGUGUCUGUGACCUACACCACAGCUCAUGGCAAUACCAUAUCCUUAACCCACUGAAGGAGGCCAGAGAUCAAACCCCCAUGCUUGUGAAUACUAGUUGGGUUUGUAACCUGCUGAGCCACAACAGGAACUCUCAGAUGUCCCUUCCUGCCUUUCCAAUCUGCUUCCCUCUGAGUAGGUUUCAUUCUUAGGCUGAGCCCCUUGGGGGACAAAGAUGGUCCCCAGCAGCACCAGUUGUACACUGUCCAGCUAGCAAACCCAGAGGUGUGGGCGUCCCCUUCCCAGGGGUUCCCACAGAAGCCCCAGAGCUGAUGCUCUCUGGCCCAGAAUGAGUCACACACCCAUGCCUGAACCAGCCCCUGUGACUCUGAUGGCCAGGCCAGGGUGGCACAGCAGCCUGGCUCAGUGAAGGGGAGUUUGGCACAGGAAACCGCACAAGCAAAAAGCCCAGCCACGUGAAGCUGGAACAGCAGACACAAAGUUCCCUGCUGCUUGGCAAUUCUUGGACAAAAGGCACCAUCUGAAAGGUGUGAUCAGAUCUGCAAUUUGCUGGGCAGCUGGUAGUGGGUGGCUUGGGGAGAGUGGUGACAUUCAGGCCCUCUAGCAUGUUCUCCAAGAAAGAAUGUGCCUCAAGAAGUACCUCCCCCCAGGCCCUUCUUCCUGCCAAAGAGUCCCUUUUCCAGAGAGCAGAAGCUGGUGUGCUCAGUGUUUCAACACAAAUGCCUGGGGGAGGGCUCGCCUGCUUGUCCUGGGUCAUUUGCAAAAAUGAAAGCAAAUCUAUAUAAUCAGUUGCCAGAAAAGUACUUAACUGGCCUGUAUUCAUUCUGCACCAGGAGAGCUGAGAGCCGCAGGACAGAAUGGUCUCACUCCUGUCACAAAACCCCAUUCUGGGCCAGCCCCAGGGCCUGGGGAUUCUCCAGAACUUAACCCCCAGCCUUUCUGCCCUAGCCAGCCCACAAGCAGCUGGAGGGUGGUUGCUGGCAUUGUCUCCUGGACCCCUGAGGGCUGGGCUGGGCCAUGCUGGGAAGUGGUCUGGGCAUUCUGAGGGUCAGGAAUGGCCUUCUCUUAUGUGGCCCCCACAUAACCUCUCCCCAAACCACUCCUCCCCACUGCCUGGGGUUUUAAAUGCAGUUCCCACCUCUUUCUGGCCGGGGUAGGCAGUGUGAUUUUGUCAUGAGCAGCUAGCCACAUGAGGCUGAAUCCCGACUGUGUGGGCAAAGAACUGGUAGCAUGGCUUUCCCCCAGAGUAGGGCUGCUUGGUGCUGGUCUGCACCUGCCUCUGGAGCAGGACAUGGAGCAGAGGGAGAUGUGGGGAUUAGUUACAGUGCUUUUGCCUGCAAGGAACAGAAGGCCCACCUCAAAGGGGCUUAAACGAGAAAGGAGAUGUGCCUCCUGUGCACAGAAGCCCCAAGGUAGGACAGCCCAGGACUGCUCAGUACUGCAGGUGUAUCAACAGAGACCCAAGCUUCUCCCCCCUUUCAUGCUGUUCACUUCAGUGAGCCAGUUCUCAGGCCAGCUUCCCUCAUGAUCACAAGAUGGCUGCCAUGGUUCUAGCCAUCACAUCCAGCAGGGGAUAGCAUCCAGCAGAGGAGAUCACCUCUUCCUGGAUAUAUCUAUUUAAGAGUGAGGGAACUUACCCCAGAGUCACCCUAGUUGCUUUUCUGUCAUGGCUCACUGGACAGAAUUACAUCACACACCCAUUCUUGGUCCAUUUCUAGCAGAGGACACAGGAAAACCACAACGGGCUUACAUGGACUCCCCUGUAGCACGGGAUUCUAAUACUCCAGCAGCAUCUGCUGCACCAGGACAAGGAUGUUCUUCUCACUCAGAGAUAGUGGAGAAGGGAUGGGAAUUCUAGUCCUGUUUUCUCCACCAGUUACUGUCUGACCCUAGACAAGUCAGGUCCCCCAUCAGUCCCUCACCCACAGGCAUUCUCUCCUCACAUCUUGCCAAUACAACUCAGAUUUGACUCAGUGGCAAUAUGCUCAGCCAGGGAAUGGAUCAUGAUUGCGGAAACAGUUGUGGCAACACCUCUGCCCUUUGUUAACUACUUGCCUGGACAGCCUCCACUACAACUCGGGGUAACCAUGGGACCCCAGGCAAGGAGAAAGAAAGAGGACUUUUCUAGAAUCCUUCCGGGAAAGAUUGUUCUCCCCUUUUCUCUCCUCUUUUCUUUCAACUUUCGCACACCAUCAAAUGAGGAUGUGAUGUUUGGAGCUUUGGCAGCCAUAUUGCAACAAUGAGGCAUAACAAGAAACUCUCAGACCCGCCAACCUCAUGCUUUGGCAGUAUGGGGCUCUGGGACAGUCUUAGGACCACAAAGAUUUGUUAUGGAAGUGAAAUAGACUCCUGUUUAAUUAAGCCCCCAUUAUUUCAGUUUUCUUUACUUGCAGCCAAGCAUACCCUAACUGAAACAGAGCCCAGUUUCUUCAUCAGUAACAUGAAAAGAAUGAUUCUGAUGAGGGUGGCCGUUAUCCUCUGGGCUGUCAUGCUCUGUGAUGACAAAUCCUCCUAGAAUUCACCCACCAGUUCCUUGAGGAAAACCAGGUUCCUGCUAACUUUCCAUAUGCCCUUGAAAACUUGAGAGGACAACAUGGUGAGAUUGGAAGCAUCCCUGAGCCUUUUCCUAUGCUACCGGGAAACUCCAUCCUUUGGGACCAAAAUUCCCAAAGGACACAGGUGAGGAUCAGUUAAAAUUGCAUAUAACAAAAACACAGAAACCUGAGAACAGUGUCUUAAGCGUAUAGAGUUUUGGGAGGUUUUUCCUGAAGUAAUAAGAAGUCCAGAGUUCAAGAGGCCACAGUUGGUCAAGCUGCUAGGGCUGGAAUGAGGUUACCAGGGACCAGGGUCCUUUCAGCUUCACCAUCCUCAGCAGGAGCCACGUCCUCAGGGGCACACGGCAGCUGAUGCCCCAGAGAGGAAUAAGAGGAAGGUGAAGGGCAAAGCUGGAAAGGUCUUCGAUCUGCCAGGAAAGCAGCAGCCAUCCAGGAAAGUCCCACUCGAGGGCCAUCUGUCAUCCUGGGUUCUAUAGCCAUCCUCAGCUUUGAGGGAGAGGAAGGGGAGAGUGGCCAUUGGGGAGACAAUUAGCCACAUGCACCACCAGGCUUGAGGUCAGAAGACCUGGGACUCAGCCCAGCACUGCUUUCUGCCACCUUCUGUGAUCCUGGUGCUCAGUUAAUGGUCUUGAGUCUCAGCGCAUCUACCAGCACAAAGAAAGAGGCCCUAUGUCAAGUAUCAAAGCCACAGGUGGCCAGUGACUACUGCAUUGGAUGGCACUGGCCUAGUGGCUGUACGUCUGGUUGGUAGAGUGGCAGCUGCUGGCAUUAUCCAGAACAAGGAUUCAUUUGUAAGAGAAACAAGUGAAACUGCCAAGCCCUGCUGAGCUGUGGCUGUAAGACAGCUGAGAGUCAAGUUCUCUCCCAAUCAGGGAUCCUCCCUGGACAUAAGGCCAUCUUGACUGUAUUUAUGCAUCUUAGAGUCCAGAGCUGGGGGCUCUGUCCUAGUGGGCAGGAAGGACCUAGAGAAGAGGAGUUGUGGCCACUUUUGGGGGUGGAUAGUAGCUUCUUGGGCUGAGGGUGGAAGAGUCCCAAAGGAACAUGUGAAGACUAAGAAGGAAAUUUUAAAAGCCUGCGCCCAGAGAACAUUCUGACUCUAAAGAGUCAGGUGAGCUCAGACCAGGGAGCCAACUACGGACAGAGUGGGGAAAAGGCUUCAUAUUUGGAAAAUGAACAGAAACGGUUGCACAGGCUUUGGACACAGAGCAUCGGAAACUCCAGGAGGAAUGAAAUC
rnacentral:lncRNA from 1 species